rnacentral:rRNA from 1 species
UACAGAGGUCUCAAGCGUUGUUCGGAUUCAUUGGGCGUAAAGGGUGCGUAGGCGGCCAACUAAGUCAGACGUGAAAUCCCUCGGCUUAACCGGGGAACUGCGUCUGAUACUGGAUGGCUUGAGUUUGGGAGAGGGAUGCGGAAUUCCAGGUGUAGCGGUGAAAUUCGUAGAUAUUCGCAAGAACACCAGUGGCGAAGGCGGCUCACUGGCCCGAUACUGACGCUGAGGCACGAAAGCGUGGGGAGCAAACAGG